AUUGAACACUGGCGGCAGGCCUAACACAUGCAAGUCGAGCGGAUGAAGGGAGCUUGCUCCUGGAUUCAGCGGCGGACGGGUGAGUAAUGCCUAGGAAUCUGCCUGGUAGUGGGGGAUAACGUCCGGAAACGGGCGCUAAUACCGCAUACGUCCUGAGGGAGAAAGUGGGGGAUCUUCGGACCUCACGCUAUCAGAUGAGCCUAGGUCGGAUUAGCUAGUUGGUGGGGUAAAGGCCUACCAAGGCGACGAUCCGUAACUGGUCUGAGAGGAUGAUCAGUCACACUGGAACUGAGACACGGUCCAGACUCCUACGGGAGGCAGCAGUGGGGAAUAUUGGACGAUGGGCGAAAGCCUGAUCCAGCCAUGCCGCGUGUGUGAAGAAGGUCUUCGGAUUGAAAAGCACUUUAAGUUGGGAGGAAGGGCAGUAAGUUAAUACCUUGCUGUUUUGACGUUACCAACAGAAUAAGCACCGGCUAACUUCGUG
rnacentral:rRNA from 1 species